CACGUAGGGUGCGAGCGUUGCCCGGAAUUAUUGGGCGUAAAGAGCUCGUAGGCGGUGUGUCGCGUCGGCCGUGAAAACCUGCAGCUUAACUGUGGGCUUGCGGUCGAUACGGGCAUCACUGGAGUUCGGCAGGGGAGACUGGAAUUCCUGGUGUAGCGGUGAAAUGCGCAGAUAUCAGGAGGAACACCGGUGGCGAAGGCGGGUCUCUGGGCCGAUACUGACACUCAACUACGAAAGCGUGGGGAGCAAACAGG
rnacentral:rRNA from 1 species